UACGUAGGGAGCGAGCGUUAUCAGGAUUUACUGGGUGUAAAGGGUGCCUAGGCGGUUUGUUAAGUCAGAAGUGAAAUUUAGGGGCUCAACCUCUAAGCUGCUUCUGAAACUGAUGAACUAGAGUGUGGGAGAGGAAAGUGGAAUUCCGAGUGUAGCGGUGAAAUGCGUAGAGAUUCGGAGGAACACCAGUAGCGAAGGCGGCUUUCGGGACCAUAACUGACGGUGAGGCACGAAAGCGUGGGGAGCAAACUGG
rnacentral:rRNA from 1 species